rnacentral:rRNA from 1 species
CGACUCUCGGCAACGGAUAUCUCGGCUCUCGCAUCGAUGAAGAACGCAGCGAACUGCGAUACUUGGUGUGAAUUGCAGAAUCCCGUGAACCAUCGAGUCUUUGAACGCAAGUUGCGCCCGAGUCCUGGACGAGGGCACGUUUGCCUGGGUGUCACAC